rnacentral:rRNA from 1 species
CAUUAUGCACAUGCCUAUAGAAUUAAUGCAUUGGAUCCCAUUAGAAAUCCGUAGUUAAGCACACUUAGGCUAGAGUAGUAUUGGGAUGGGUGAUCACCUAGGAAGUCCUAGUGUUUUACAUGC